GCUUACGACCACACCGGCCUGAGUACGCCUGAUCUCGUCUGAUCUCGGAAGCUAAGCAGGGUCGGGCUGGUAGUACUUGGAUGGGAGACCGCCUGGAAUACCAGGUGCUGUAAGCU
rnacentral:rRNA from 1 species